rnacentral:rRNA from 1 species
UACGUAGGGAGCAAGCGUUGUCCGGAAUCAUUGGGCGUAAAGCGCGCGUAGGUGGCCUCAUAAGUCCGCUGUGAAAGUCAAAGGCUCAACCUUUGAAAGCCGAUGGAUACUGCCGGGCUGGAGUCCGGAAGAGGCGAGUGGAAUUCCUGGUGUAGCGGUGGAAUGCGCAGAUAUCAGGAGGAACACCAAUAGCGAAGGCAGCUCGCUGGGACGGUACUGACGCUGAGGCGCGAAAGCGUGGGGAGCGAACAGG